rnacentral:rRNA from 1 species
GUCGAACGGCAGCACGGGUGCUUGCACCUGGUGGCGAGUGGCGAACGGGUGAGUAAUACAUCGGAACAUGUCCUGUAGUGGGGGAUAGCCCGGCGAAAGCCCGGAUUAAUACCGCAUACGAUCUACGGAUGAAAGCGGGGGACCUUCGGGCCUCGCGCUAUAGGGUUGGCCGAUGGCUGAUUAGCUAGUUGGUGGGGUAAAGGCCUACCAAGGCGACGAUCAGUAGCUGGUCUGAGAGGACGACCAGCCACACUGGGACUGAGACACGGCCCAGACUCCUACGGGAGGCAGCAGUGGGGAAUUUUGGACAAUGGGCGAAAGCCUGAUCCAGCAAUGCCGCGUGUGUGAAGAAGGCCUUCGGGUUGUAAAGCACUUUUGUCCGGAAAGAAAUCCUUGGUUCUAAUAUAGCCGGGGGAUGACGGUACCGGAAGAAUAAGCACCGGCUAACUACGUGCCAGCAGCCGCGGUAAUACGUAGGGUGCGAGCGUUAAUCGGAAUUACUGGGCGUAAAGCGUGCGCAGGCGGUUUGCUAAGACCGAUGUGAAAUCCCCGGGCUCAACCUGGGAACUGCAUUGGUGACUGGCAGGCUAGAGUAUGGCAGAGGGGGGUAGAAUUCCACGUGUAGCAGUGAAAUGCGUAGAGAUGUGGAGGAAUACCGAUGGCGAA